rnacentral:tRNA from 1 species
AGGGGCUUAGGUUCAACCUAGACCAAGAGCCUUCAAAGCCCUCAGCGGAAGUGCAACCCUUCCAGCCCCUG